AGUGAACGCUGGCGGUAGGCCUAACACAUGCAAGUCGAACGGCAGCACCGUAAGAGCUUGCUCUUACGGGUGGCGAGUGGCGGACGGGUGAGGAAUACAUCGGAAUCUACUUUUUCGUGGGGGAUAACGUAGGGAAACUUACGCUAAUACCGCAUACGACCUACGGGUGAAAGCAUGGGAUCUUCGGACCUUGCGCGAUUGAAUGAGCCGAUGUCGGAUUAGCUAGUUGGCGGGGUAAAGGCCCGCCAAGGCGACGAUCCGUAGCUGGUCUGAGAGGAUGGUCGGCCACACUGGAACUGGGACACGGUCCAGACUCCGACGGGAGGCAGCAGUGGGGAAUAUUGGACAAUGGGCGCAAGCCUGAUCCAGCCAUACCGCGUGGGUGAAGAAGGCCUUCGGGUGGUAAAGCCCUUUUGUUGGGAAAGAAAAGCAGCAGGUUAAUACCCCGCUGUUCUGACGGUACCCAAAGAAUAAGCACCGGCUAACUUCGUG
rnacentral:rRNA from 1 species